UACGUAGGGGGCUAGCGUUGUCCGGAAUCAUUGGGCGUAAAGAGCGUGUAGGCGGCUCGGUAAGUCCGCUGUGAAAGUCCAGGGCUCAACCCUGGAAUGCCAGUGGAAACUGUCGAGCUAGAGUCCGGAAGAGGCGAGUGGAAUUCCUGGUGUAGCGGUGAAAUGCGCAGAUAUCAGGAGGAACACCAAUGGCGAAGGCAGCUCGCUGGGACGGUACUGACGCUGAGACGCGAAAAGCGUGGGGAGCAAACAGG
rnacentral:rRNA from 1 species